CACCCCCACCGCCAAGGCCUCAGAGGAGCUCCGGCCCCGAAGCCUAGGCGGUGACGGGGAGAGGGGUGAGGGGGCGCUCCGCCUCCUCUGAGUCAAUAUUUGCCCCGAGCAAACGGGCGCCUGGACAGGUGUGUGUGUGUGUGUGUGUGUGUGUGUGUGUGUGCGCGCGUGCGCUCGCGCGUGUGUGUGUCUCUAUGGGCGGGGACUGAGUAGGCCGUAUAAAGCGCGCUGAGCCGGGGCUCCCGCACAAGCUCCGCGGCUUGCGCUGGGGACCAAGCCAAGCGGGGCCGGGCCGGGUGGAGGGUGGCCAGGAAGGGAGGGGCGGACCAGGUGCGCACCUGCAGUGGCCGCCGCGGCCGCCGACGUGUCAGCCGCAGAUGCGCGCAGGUGAGGGCGGCGGCUAUCGGGCGCCGGACAGCACGGCACUCGCCGAAGACCAGGACCAGGAGACCGCCGAGGGCCACAGCCAGGCCCCGGACCCCCCGCUCCCGCCCCGCGACGAGCCCCUCGCACAAACCGGACCUGAGCGUUUUGUUCGUUCGGCUCGCGUGAGGCAGGGGCGGCCUCUCAGCACCCGCCCGGGGGCCCGGGCCGAUCGCCACGCAGGCACCUGUCGCCGCCGCCGCCAUACGGGUCGGAGAGGCUGUGCGCCGCUCCCCGGGGACAUCCGGCUCCCAUCCGGCCCCGCCCGCCCUGUCCUGUCCGGCCCGCGGCUCAAGGGCUGCCCGCUUCGAUUCCGGAUAAUGCGGGCUGGCAGAGCCAGCUCCACCGGGUGGCGUAGGGGGUCUGGGGGCCAGUUUAGGCGUUCUUCCAGAGGUGGAAACCCGGGUUUCUAGUCUGGCUCUGUCCCAGCGACUUCUGUGGUCUUGGGCAAGUCAUUUCCCGGCUUCUCCUCGGAUAUUCCCACUUGCAUAAGGAGAAGAGGGUUAGUCUGGCCUCUCGUGUGGGGCCCACCAGUCCCCAUGUUCUGGUUUCUGGGCUUUCAGCAAUGAUUUUGAGCCCCUUGACCUGGGAAAUUGGAGGCUCGCAAGGGGUUGGAGCAACAGCUAUGAGGUGUGGAAAAUCUGGGUGGGGGGAGCUAGGGUUACAUUGGACCAAGUUCGGUUCCUCCUCAUCUCUUUGGUGCUGACAUUCUGAGGGUUCACUCCCUGCCAUCUCCUUGGCCCGUCUUGCAGUCUCCUCACCUCUGAACAGAUUGCUUGAGAAGGACAAACACAGGGUCUGGUAGCCCUUGCCUGCUGGGGCUCCCAGGCCCUGAAGCUGACCACCUCUCCCAGACUUCACAAUCACAAGGUCUCCACCGCAAAUUCCAGCUGGAAUUCUAACUUGGAUCUCAACGGUGUUAUCUCCCCCCAAGCCUUUGAAGACACACACACAACCCCCACACGCAUCUCCUGAGGAAUAUGGUGAUCCCACCAACACCUGGACUGGAAAUUGCCCUCCCAGCCCCAGCUCCUGAACACACAGUGACUGGCCUCUGACAAACACCCCCGCACCCUCGGGACUAGCACUCACCGGCAGCGUCACUGACCAGCGCAGACGCACAGCCUGACGCACUCGCCUGCCGCGCCUGCUGCGCCUCCAGACCUCAGCCUCCCAGCAACUGCCACUUCCAUUGCCCGCGCUGCUCCGGCCUUCGCGCGGGCCUUCCACCCAGCGCGGCCCGCGAGCCCCCCCUGGUGGCCGAGUCCAGACUCGCUGGAUAGAGACCGGGGAGGAACAGAGAAUGUAGAAGAGGGACUCUUUCGAUCCCUCACGUGUCACCAGUGCGACAGCCCCACUUGUGAAACCGAGACCAAGUGCUUGGAGACGAAGAGUCUAGGAGUGUUUCUUGCCUCUUUCGAUAUUCUGCGUUUCCCCUUUUCUUGGCCUGGGAAAAGUAUACCCUAUUUGAUCACACCCCCUCUGGUACAGGGAGUCAGGGGACUGGACAUGGUUCUGACCUCAUCUGCAAUCAAAUUGGGGCUGUCCCCGCUCUGAUUCCAAAACUUCCAAACUGGACUUUACUCCCUGUGUUUUAGGGCCUUCACCUUCACACACAUCAGAAUCCUGGACAGCAAUUUCUCAACAGUGAAAAGAGAGACUCAAGGGAGACCCCAAUACCCCCGUGCCUGCUGUCAGCAUGCCAGAAAUUCAAGGCUGGGGAGGUCGGCAGGAUGGGCGAAACAUCACGCCCUUUUCACGGCAGCAGUUCCUCUACACAACUUUCCCCAGGCACCUUUGGCCCAACCUGACCACCCUGUCCACUCACUCGUUUGAGACGUUUUAUUGAGCAACUUCUAUGCGUCCUGCACUGGGCUAGGACGGAGAGAAACAACUGAAAACAAGACUUAAACAGCCCCUGCCCCUUUAAAUGGAGCUUACACUCUAGUACAAAAGGAAACACUCCAUACAGCCAUACACAAAAGAUGACAAAGACAACUUUACAGAAUAAUAAAUGCUAUAAAGAAAAUAGGGUGAUGUGGAGGACAGUAAAUGUCAGGAACAGCAUGACCCAGGUGAUGAAAAAGGAGCCAGUCACACCUUGUGACUAAGACACUCCAGGUAACAGGGACCGCCAGUGCAGGGGCUCUGAGGCUGGAGUGAGGAUGGCAGUUUUGAGAAAGCGUGGAAGACAGCGUGGUUAGACUUCUGGAUCUGUAGCAUCGGCAUCUGGCCUGUGAGCCCCUUUAGUCACCAGAAGUUGGGUGGCAAAGCACUCCGGUCUAGUCAUGCUCUGACACUGGCUAGCUAUGUGGGUCUGGGAAAGGCCCUGUACCUCUGGAAGCCUCUUGCACAUUUCCACAUGGUGGAUUCUUUACCACUGCACCACGUGGGAAACCAAGAGCCUAGGACCUAUAGUCAAAACGGAAACCCCAGGGUCACACUUCAUCUGGGCCACUUCUCAGUUGUGAUACC
ensembl:lncRNA